CAGUACAUGACUACGAAGGGAUGUGCCUGGAUUUCCAGUCACACUUUGGAUGUUUCAAAGUAGUCGUUAAGUUUUUUGUUGGAAAAACAGCUUUAUCAAAUGAAACUUUGGUUACUUGGUUUAUGCCAUCCAAUCUGGCUUUAUGGGACCCUGCUGGGUUACCUUGAGAUGAGAACAUGCGUGACCCCAAAUGACCUGUGCAUGGCAGACCACAGUGUGCCGGAACUGACUGAUACCUAGUGUACCGGGCCAUUAUGUGAGGAGUGACAGAAGAAAUGUAAAAGGAGAAUCUGAAGGCAAUGAAA